rnacentral:rRNA from 1 species
GAUGAACGCUAGCGGCGGGCUUAAUACAUGCAAGUCGAGGGGUAGCGAUACACCGGCGCACGGGUGCGUAACGCGUAUGCAACCUACCUUUAUCUGGGGGAUAGCCCGGGGAAACCCGGAUUAAUACCGCAUAACAAAUUGCUUGGCAUCGAGUAAUUUUAAAAGAUUUAUCGGAUAGAGACGGGCAUGCGUAAGAUUAGAUAGUUGGCGAGGUAACGGCUCACCAAGUCUACGAUCUUUAGGGGCUCUGAGAGGAGAAUCCCCACACUGGCACUGAGAUACGGGCCAGACUCCUACGGGAGGCAGCAGUAGGGAAUAUUGGGCAAUGGACGCAAGUCUGACCCAGCCACGCCGCGUGCAGGAAGAAGGCCCUCUGGGUUGUAAACUGCUUUUGACCGGGAAGAAAAGAUCCUUUGCGAAGGAAGUUGACGGUACCGGCAGAAUAAGCCACGGCUAACUACGUGCCAGCCGCCGCCGUAACAC